GGAAUCGGGCCAGCACAUGAACCUAGAUCUUUCUGACUCCAAAGUGCAUGCCCUUGUCAAUUCAUUGUGACCAUGAGCAGCUAUAAAGUCUCCUUUCCCAGGGAUGGCAAAUCUCUCUGUCCAGAUUCAUUUAUCAAACAAAUCUUUAUUAAGUGCCUGUUAUAUGUCAGGCCCAGAGCUAAGCUAUGGGUUGGCUCUGGUUCCGAUUUGAGGAGAGACAUUCAGGACCCCUGGAGGCACUCUUCUUGCCAAAGAAUUCAGCAACUAUAGGAAAUUGAGGAAGCCCCAGCCCCGUUCUCUGUUGUAUUAUCUGAUUAAUUCUCCUGGAGAAGGGGCCAGAACACAGUAGCCCACUACUCUUGUGCCCAGUCUAGGGAGACCAGAAGGAGAGAAUACGUGCAGUUGAAAAGAUAAUUAGCAGUGACUUAAGUCAUAAAGAAGCUAAUAGUUUCUUUAUGGUUCUUGAAUAGCGGAGGCCCAGUACAGAGUUUCUGUUGGGGAUAAUGAAAAAGUUCGAGAGACAGAUGAUGGUGAUAGUUGCACAACAUUGUUAAUGUACUUAAUGCCAAUGAAUUGUACAUGUAAAAAUAAUUAAAAUGGUAACUUUAAUGUUGUGUUUUGCCACAAUAAAAACAUUGAGCAAAACUCUCGAAAAUAACUUUAAAACACACAGUGCAACAUUGCUCCCAAAGAAUUGACCUUUCAGACCAUUCAGACAACUCAGUUCAUUUUUGUUUUUAAGCCAGCGUACAAAAAGAAAAGAAAAGAAGCUGUAGCAAAAGCUCCGCUAACUGACCUGCGGAAAGAGAGUCACAAGCAUGGGCAAAGUAUCUCCCUUCGGGAGAACAAGAAUGUGUUCUCUGUCUUGUGUCCCACCAACAAAAUCCAGCUUCUGAUAGACAAAGAGUCACCGUGCAUAAAAGAAAUGUCCGGUAAGAUACCUAAAAAUAAAUGUAAAUAAUAAGACUGUUAAGUGGCAACAACAACAAAUAGGCCCACGACUCCUCCCUAUGUCUUUCCAGCCUGAGUGCCAUAAUCACCAUGUCACCCUGUCCUCCCCUGGCCAUCAGCCUAGGCAGCUGGAAAGGUGACUUCCUGACCAGAAUGAAAUAAUCCUGGCAGCCAUGAGGAGCUGAGCCUUGUGGGGUAUCUCAGGACCAGGCAUGGGUGACAGUGGUGCUGGCUUCUGACAGGGAAGACCACCCUGACCAGCAAUGGAACUAACUGAGUCCCGGGACCAGGAAGCAUCCCUCUUCCCUUGUCUGUGAUUAGUGGUUCACAUUGGAUCUCACAGCCUCCCUGGGAGGCAGACAGUGCCUCUAGCAUCAUCUCCAAAUUACAGAUAUGGAAACAGCUAGGCUUAAAUAAAGAAAUUCAAACUCAGAUUCAGGGCACAGCGCCAAUGCUUCCUCCGCUGUGCCAUGUUGAUCCAUAAAGUUGAAAGCCUCUAGCUAGGGACCAUAACUG
rnacentral:lncRNA from 1 species